rnacentral:rRNA from 1 species
UGUCUCAAGACUAAGCCAUGCAUGUCUAAGUAUAAACGCUUCUAUACUGUGAAACUGCGAAUGGCUCAUUAAAUCAGUUAUAGUUUAUUUGAUGGUUUCUUACUACUUGGAUAACCGUGGUAAUUCUAGAGCUAAUACAUGCACAAAGUCCCGACUCUUCGGAAGGGAUGUAUUUAUUAGAUCCAAAACCAAUGCGAGUCUCUCGGGGCUCGGUUUCUUGGUGAUUCAUGAUAACUGCUCGAACCGUAUGGCCCUUGCGCCGACGGUGCUUCAUUCAAAUUUCUGCCCUAUCAACUUUCGAUGGUACGGUAGUGGCCUACCAUGGUUGCAACGGGUGACGGAGAAUUAGGGUUCGAUUCCGGAGAGGGAGCCUGAGAAACGGCUACCACAUCCAAGGAAGGCAGCAGGCGCGCAAAUUACCCAAUCCCGACUCGGGGAGGUAGUGACAAUAAAUAACAAUGCCGGGCUAUUGUAGUCUGGCAAUUGGAAUGAGUACAAUCUAAAUCCCUUAACGAGGAACAAUUGGAGGGCAAGUCUGGUGCCAGCAGCCGCGGUAAUUCCAGCUCCAAUAGCGUAUAUUAAAGUUGUUGCAGUUAAAAAGCUCGUAGUUGGAUUUCGGGGUGGCCUGCCUGGUCCACCGCAAGGUGAGUACUGGUCAGCCGCCCUUCCUCUCGAAAGCCCCGACUGCUCUUCACUGCAGUGGUCGGGUAGUUCGGGACGUUUACUUUGAAAAAAUUAGAGUGUUCAAGGCAGGCUAUCGCCUGAAUACAUUAGCAUGGAAUAAUGGAAGAGGACCUCGGUCCUAUUUUGUUGGUUUCUAGGGCCGAAGUAAUGAUUAAGAGGGACAGUUGGGGGCAUUCGUAUUUAAUUGUCAGAGGUGAAAUUCUUGGAUUUAUGAAAGACGAACUAGUGCGAAAGCAUUUGCCAAGGAUGUUUUCAUUAAUCAAGAACGAAAGUUAGGG